rnacentral:rRNA from 1 species
UUUAAAUCUAGAUUAUUAGUAGAUAUAUUCUUGAAAAUCAAAGAAUUUGGCGGUAUCUUAAUCUUAUUAGAGGAACCUGUUUUAUAAACGAUAAACCACGAAAAAUCUUAUUUGUUUUAAAUAGUUUGUAUACCGUCAUUAUUAGAUAAUUUUGGAAAAAUUAAUUAUUGGAAUUAAAUUUAAAAGUUUUAAAUAUAUUAGAUCAAGGUGCAGCUUAUANACAAGAAAAGAAUGGGUUACAAUAAAUUAAUUUAAAUGGAAGAUAUUCUUAAAUGANUUUCUGAAGGCGGAUUUAAUUGUAUAUUUAAAUUUAAUAUGAUAAAUAGAAAUUGGCUCUAAGAUAUGU